rnacentral:rRNA from 1 species
CUGGCGGUAUGCUUAACACAUGCAAGUCGAACGGUCUCUUCGGAGAUAGUGGCGGACGGGUGAGUAACGCGUGAGAAUCUGCCUUCAGGUCUGGGACAACCAUUGGAAACGGUGGCUAAUACCGGAUGAGCAGAGAUGUAAAAGAUUAAUUGCCUGAAGAUGAGCUCGCGUCUGAUUAGCUAGUUGGUGGGGUAAGAGCCUACCAAGGCGACGAUCAGUAGCUGGUCUGAGAGGAUGAUCAGCCACACUGGGACUGAGACACGGCCCAGACUCCUACGGGAGGCAGCAGUGGGGAAUUUUCCGCAAUGGGCGAAAGCCUGACGGAGCAAUACCGCGUGAGGGAGGAAGGCUCUUGGGUCGUAAACCUCUUUUCUCAGGGAAGAAAAAAAUGACGGUACCUGAGGAAUAAGCAUCGGCUAACUCCGUGCCAGCAGCCGCGGUAAUACGGAGGAUGCAAGCGUUAUCCGGAAUGAUUGGGCGUAAAGCGUCCGCAGGUGGCUAUGUAAGUCUGCUGUUAAAGAGUCUAGCUCAACUAGAUAAAAGCAGUGGAAACUACAUGGCUAGAGUGCGUUCGGGGCAGAGGGAAUUCCUGGUGUAGCGGUGAAAUGCGUAGAGAUCAGGAAGAACACCGGUGGCGAAAGCGCUCUGCUAGGCCGCAACUGACACUGAGGGACGAAAGCUAGGGGAGCGAAUGGGAUUAGAUACCCCAGUAGUCCUAGCCGUAAACGAUGGAUACUAGGCGUGGCUUGUAUCGACCCGAGCCGUGCCGUA